rnacentral:rRNA from 1 species
UGCCUAUCACUUAGCGGCGGACGGGUGAGUAAUGCUUAGGAAUCUGCCUAUUAGUGGGGGACAACAUUUCGAAAGGAAUGCUAAUACCGCAUACGUCCUACGGGAGAAAGCAGGGGAUCUUCGGACCUUGCGCUAAUAGAUGAGCCUAAGUCGGAUUAGCUAGUUGGUGGGGUAAAGGCCUACCAAGGCGACGAUCUGUAGCGGGUCUGAGAGGAUGAUCCGCCACACUGGGACUGAGACACGGCCCAGACUCCUACGGGAGGCAGCAGUGGGGAAUAUUGGACAAUGGGCGCAAGCCUGAUCCAGCCAUGCCGCGUGUGUGAAGAAGGCCUUAUGGUUGUAAAGCACUUUAAGCGAGGAGGAGGCUACUGAAGUUAAUACCUUCAGAUAGUGGACGUUACUCGCAGAAUAAGCACCGGCUAACUCUGUGCCAGCAGCCGCGGUAAUACAGAGGGUGCAAGCGUUAAUCGGAUUUACUGGGCGUAAAGCGCGCGUAGGCGGCUAAUUAAGUCAAAUGUGAAAUCCCCGAGCUUAACUUGGGAAUUGCAUUCGAUACUGGUUAGCUAGAGUGUGGGAGAGGAUGGUAGAAUUCCAGGUGUAGCGGUGAAAUGCGUAGAGAUCUGGAGGAAUACCGAUGGCGAAGGCAGCCAUCUGGCCUAACACUGACGCUGAGGUGCGAAAGCAUGGGGAGCAAACAGGAUUAGAUACCCUGGUAGUCCAUGCCGUAAACGAUGUCUACUAGCCGUUGGGGCCUUUGAGGCUUUAGUGGCGCAGCUAACGCGAUAAGUAGACCGCCUGGGGAGUACGGUCGCAAGACUAAAACUCAAAUGAAUUGACGGGGGCCCGCACAAGCGGUGGAGCAUGUGGUUUAAUUCGAUGCAACGCGAAGAACCCUUACCUGGGCCUUGACAUAGUAAGAACUUUCCAGAGAUGGAUUGGUGCCUUCGGGAACUUACAUACAGGUGCUGCAUGGGCUGUCGUCAGCUCGUGUCGUGAGAAUGUUGGGUUAAGUCCCGCAACGA